AUGGUGAAGGCGCUACAGAGGGAGGAUGGUACGACAUGUAAUGAUGAUGAUGGCAUGCGUGCAAUGGACGCACACUUCUAUGAGCGGUUGUUCACGUCUGAGGGGUCAAGGGAUGUGGACAAAAUUUUGCUCCAUAUUGACACGACCGUGACCGAUGAGAUGAAUGCUCGACUGGUAGCACCGGUUACGGACGAGGAGAUUGAACAAGCUUUAUUCCAGAUGGGACCAACGAAAGCUCCGGGCCCGGAUGGAUUCUCGGCUAUGUUUUACCAAAGACACUGGUUGUUGGUGAAAGAGGAGGUGUGUGCAGCUAUUUGA
rnacentral:rRNA from 1 species